UUUGUUUUUGCCUGCAAAAAGUCCCCUGCUUUCUCUCUCCCAUUCCGCGUCUUUCCUUCUCUUUCCUGGACAAAAGUACAGAACUCUUCAAAUUUUCAUUACCUCCCUCAUAAAAUUUUUAAAUUAAUAUAUGAAAAUAUAAAUUUCAAAUCCUCCAUUACCACUUUUCUACGAAGCUUUGCCGAAAGCAAUAAAUUUCUCCUUUUAGGAAUUGCGGUCAACUUUUACAUGCAUCAAACACCCUAUAUUCUAAGCUCUUGUUGAUUGGAUCUGGUCGUAACUAAAUACCCAUUUGCCAUUUUCCUUUCUCUUUGAUUUCUUCUUAUUUUUCUCCGGGUCUCUUUGAUUUUGAAUUUAAUUCCGAUGUUAAUUUGGUGUUCUUCUAAGCUCGAUUUGAGCUCCCUUCCUUUCUAGAUUCCCUCUUAGAUUUCUUUUUCCCUCAAAGGGGAAAGUCGGGUUGUCGACUUAUCUUUCAUUUAAUCCAUUUUCUCUCCUAAGUUCUGAUUUUUAAUCAGAAUUUUGAGGUGGGUCUUUCUCUUUCAUAAGUUGUGUUGGUGAUUGGGUUUUCUUAGCCUCUUUCCUUGGAAAUUGGAUUGUAUUGGGUUUAACGUUUAGUCUUAGGUGGUCUUCGGUGGUCUUAGGUGAUAGAGAAUUAGUAGGGUUUUGCUUGGCUAGGGUUUAAAGUCCUCAUGAGAUGAAAAGGAUAACAUACUCCGGUAAAGCUGAUGAGUUCUCGAGAAAUGGGUGCCAUAAGAACAAAGUUUUUCACUGUCUUGGUAAUUCUGCUUUAUGCAUUGGUGACUAGCGGCUCGGAAUAUGAAAACAGGGUAGAUCAAGUGAUUCUUGACCAACUCGUUGAUCCAGCAACUGGGAAGUUCGAUGAGAACAUGGUAGGAGAGUAAAGAUCGUUUUAUUUCAGUAUACUUCGUUUUUCUACAGUUUCUUUGAAUUAUUUUUACUGUUAUUUGUUUGGGAGAUGACUUAUGUCGGGAUUGUUAUAAUAUGGUCUUAGUUUCUAUGAUCAAGAAGCAGGACAGAACCAACUGUAGUUUCAGCUUGGAAUCCAAUACCUUUAGCUUCUUAAGUUAUGCAGCACAGGCUAGACAGGAAAAUAAUGAUAUAUAAAUGAUUUUCUCAUAGGAGUAUAAAUGUCUGGAGAGGAUGGAGUAUGGAGUUGAUAAUUGUUUAUGAUGCAUCACCUAAUAUAAGGAUAAGCACUGGAGAUUGUUUUGAACAGCCUGUUAUCUUGGGCAUUCAGUGGACAUUAUGCACCUAUUAUACAACAACCCCUCAGAGGCAGGUCCAAGCAGGGGGGGCAGCGAGUUGGAGAAAUGGAGGUUUGAGCUCUGGAGGGAUUUGGGUUUAUACUAGUUUCUUAUUCAUUGUAAAUUACGCUGCAAUGAGUCAUUUCACAAGAUGUCAUUGUUUGUCAUUGCUUUAUUGGGAAAGGAUAUAAUUGCUUCAAGGAUGUACCAUCAAUCGGAUAUAAGUGUCAUGGUAUAUGUUAUUCAUGGAGUUCAAAGUGAAAUACUCCCAUGUACCAACUGUUUUUUUUUUCUCUCAAGGACUUUGUGUAGUGGGAGACUUGCAGCUGAUGGUGCAGUAGCAUUGGUUUUGCAUGUAUGGAAUUUUUUGCUUGUGAUAUAUACUACCUAGUUUUAUUUUAUAUUUUUCUUUUUUUUCACUUUCUUUUUUAUUUAAAAAAUAUACAUAUAUAUAUAUAUAUACACAACCAAGUUUCUCAAUUUAAAAGAAAUCUUAGGAAUUGGGAUUUAAAAUUAAUUAUUUCUGUAAGUUUCUGCUAUAUGAUCCUGUUAUGAAUAUUAGGUUAUCAUGUGCACAUCAUCCUUACAAGCACUGUGCCUGUUUUGUUGAGAACAUAUA
rnacentral:lncRNA from 1 species